AGCAAAAGACCACCAAAGCCAGACAAUAGACCACAACGGAGGAGCAGAGGACCACCACGGCCAGACAGUAGACCACGACGGCGGAGCAGAAGACCACCACGGUGGA